rnacentral:rRNA from 1 species
GACGAACGCUGGCGGCGUGCUUAACACAUGCAAGUCGAACGAUGAACUUGGAGCUUGCUCUGGGGGAUUAGUGGCGAACGGGUGAGUAACACGUGAGUAACCUGCCCUGGACUCUGGGAUAACUUCGAGAAAUCGGAGCUAAUACCGGAUAGGACCUUGUACCGCAUGGUGUGGGGUGGAAAGUUUUUCGGUUUGGGAUGGACUCGCGGCGUAGCAGCUUGUUGGUGAGGUAAUGGCUCACCAAGGCGUCGACGGGUAGCCGGCCUGAGAGGGUGACCGGCCACACCGGGACUGAGACACGGCCCAGACUCCUACGGGAGGCAGCAGUGGGGAAUAUUGCACAAUGGGCGCAAGCCUGAUGCAGCAACGCCGCGUGCGGGAUGACGGCCUUCGGGUUGUAAACCGCUUUUAGUAGGGAAGAAGCCUUCGGGUGACGGUACCUGCAGAAAAAGGACCGGCUAACUACGUGCCAGCAGCCGCCGUAAAAC